UCGGUGCAGGUACGUACGCACACGCAUUACGCACUAUACAUAACCGACUUCACACCGGACCAACCACGAUAUUCGUGGUUUUGGCGCUCUUGCGUGUGCCUACUUUGCGAAAUCUGGCGUGCGCGCGUGCGUGACACGCACCUGCAAAGAUAGGGCCUGCAGCCCCCCCCCCCCCCCCGCUCCUUUCCAUCUGUGCCGCCUUCUUCCUCUCGUCCCUACUGCGACUCCUCUUACUCGUGGUCUUCAGAGAAGGUGCGGAAAGGGAACAGUUGUAUCGGAGCUGAGCACGAAAAAGGUGUACAAUAUCGUCGACAACGGAACACCGCCGCGGAGGCACUCUUUGCCCUCUCACGGCGGCGUUGUAGGCAUCCAAGCCGCAGGAGGCAGGAGUAGUCAGCGUAUCGGAUGCGAGAAGAGUGCCUAAGAUACCGCUUCAUCUCUCUGAUACACCAACGCGCCGCUCCCUCUCUCCUUAUAGACACAAAGAGAGGAGCGAGCACCAGAGCAAGAAGAGAAAACGAUACAGGAUACUCAACAUACGAAGGAAAAUCACUUGCGAGAGAGAGAGAGAGGUGUCAUCAAGGAGAGCGCACAGAGAAGAUAGCUAAGAAUUCCUACACGCAGGGAAGAGGCGGGUAGGCUGACCGUUGACACACCCGCCGCCGCUGCCGCCCUCAUCGCUUUGUUUUCUUCUGCCAGUGUCUUGCCACACACCGCACUCUUUCUCACGCAAUCCCAAACACACGCGCACGAAAAACAAACAAAUGCACACAUGACACACGCUCCUCUCCCAUACCGUCUUGCUCCCCCCCUCCCUCCACCGAGUGGUCUCUCUUUUCUCGGUGCACACACUUCAUUCCUGGACGUCACGCGCGUGUAUUCAACAUACGCCCUCACCCUCUAUCGGCUUGCUUGUGUGCGUGUGUGUAUCUCGGAAGGGUGUGUUCGGUGGCUCUUUUCUCUGCGCGUGUGCAUAUUCUUUGUGCUUGUCUCUUCUGAUUUCGUGUUUCCCCCACCCCUUUCGGAGUGUCGGCUGUACCCUCCUCUUCAGUGGGCGCCGUUUAUCCCUCAUUUCCUUGCGCCCCUCGUCGCCCUGGCAUUUUCAUCGCCAGGCACUUACUGGAGCGUGUGUAUGUGACAGCCCCCCCCCCCCCCCCCCCCACACACACACACACACACACACACACGAAAAGAGAAUACACCGACACGAAGAGCGAGGCACCAGUGAGCCAGUGCGCUCGUGCAGGGCCCGCCUCGUUUUCCCUUCCGCCCCCUGACGUACAUAUCUGUCUUUCUCACCCUUUUCGUUUUUUUUUUUGGGAGGGGGGUCUUUAGCAUUGAGCUUAUCUUGCCUUCCACCCACACCAUUCUUUAUUCGUGCCGCCCGCGCACAGGACUCCCCCUCCUCCUCUACAUACGUCUCGCACACGCAACGCUCCCUCACCGCAGCUCGCCUGCGCGGAGAGCGGCGCCUCCUUUGCCUCUUUUAGCCCGCCCUUUUAUGUGUUUGUUGCGCCCUCCCCCCAACGUAUCCGUCGCCGUCUCCGCCAACCCCUCCCCUCUUCGCUACUCUUCUUUUUCAGUUGCGCGUGCGCGCGUGCCCGGGAGCACAGGGAAAGGGAAGCGUGUGUGGGCGACACAGCAUACCGCCCCUUACCUCUACACAUACGCAGGGCUGCAACUCCGACGCAUACAUAACACGCACGAAAAAGCGAAAGAAUAAGAAAGAGGAGGAUACACAGGCGCUCAAGACUGGGAUUGAAAAUCAGCGAACGUUGUCUCACUCGCUCACUCUCUCUUCUCCUUGCGUUUGGUGUUGCGCAGGUGUGAGGGGCUGCAGUGCGGCUUUCUUGUGUUUUAGCGUGUGCAGCUCGUCUGUGUUGACGGCAGCAGCUGCAGUUAAUAGUAGGGUGGGCGCCAACAUCUACUUUCGGUGAACUUCCGAAACCCUCCUACUCUUGUUACUUCUCUUCGUCUUUGCGUGAGGGCGGCGUGCUCUCUCUCUCUCUCUGCGCGUUUGUGUCGCUUCUAUUCUUUCUUUCUCUGUGUGUGACACCUGUUUUGGGCUCGUCUCUCCCACUUUCAUGCCAAGCUGUCUGUCGCCCUUCACCAGGGAGAGCGCUGCUGGCGCUGCCGGCACUGAGGACAUCGAUGAUGCCCCGGGCUCGACGAUCAUCGCCGCCCAGCGCAGCCGCCUUCGCGAGCUGGUGGAUCGUGCAUACAGUGAGGCUCUUCGGACUGUUGCCCACCUAAGGCUGCUCAUGCCGCUCUCCAAGUACGGCCUCGGCGUUGCCCUCAUCUUGUGCGUGACGGUCAUCUGGGUGGCGUCCUCGGUCUGGAUCCAGUACAUCUUCGGUUCCCUCGAGUUCAACAAGCCGUUCUUCCUCACGUACUUUAACACGACUGGGUUUUGCCUUUGGAACGCCGGCUUCUUUUUCUCGGCUCGCUGGCGGCGCACGCCAUGGGACGAAACAUCGCGGACGCAGCCGGUGUGCAUCGAGGAUGCACGGCUGGACUCGAGGGAGCCGUCGUCGACGGAGGAGGCGGAGGCGGAGGCGGGAGAAGACGCCAGCAUUGGAGCAGUGAGGGAAGCGCCUCAUCAUAGCAGGAGCGUCUCGGGUGUGAGCCCGACUCUUUCCCACACCGUCCCGCACUGUCGAAGUCUUGCAGAGUGGGAGCUGCAGCGGCCACUGAACCACUGCUCACCCUCCUCGAACCUGAUUUCACAUGCUGUACCGCAUUCGACGCAACCGCCCCACUACGGCCAUGCUCUCCUGUCACGGUCGGCGAUCACCGCCGUGAGUGCCCGCCACGCUGGAACGCCACCGCCGACGCCGCGGCUCCCCCCGCAUCAGGUGCUGAUUAGUGUUCACGGCACAGGCAGGAGUCUGCUGGAGGACAACGAUGACAUCGAUGGCGGCAGCGACGUUGGAAGCGCGCACGGUGCGACCAGGUCGACGGUGCAGUUGCACUUCGCGGACGAGUGCCGCGACUAUUCCCUUCCCACCUCGUCGGCGUCGAGUGCGCGAGAGGAGGUGGUCAGUGUCAUCCUGGCGGAUGAGGACGAGCUGGCCGACGCUACCCUGUGGCAGGUUGCGACGCGCCGAGAGGUAGUGAUUUCCUCAAAGAUGCUCCGCCACAACGGUACCGAGGCGCCGCCGCGACGCCGCUAUCGUCAGCGCGCGCGUCGGCAGCGCAUUCGCCGCUACUCGCUCCGGCGCAUCUGGCGGUGCGCGCUCGUCUUCUGCCCGCUUUGGUUUCUAGCCAACUACCUCUUCAACCUCUCCCUCUCGAUCACGUCGGUGGCCUCUAACACGAUCCUGAGUUCCACCUCGUCGAUCUGGGCGCUCUUCUUAUCCCACAUGGUGCUGCGGCAGCCUGUGGGGGCGCAUCGAUUGGUGGCGGUGGUUCUCAGCGUGAGCGGGACAGUUGUGGUGGGGCUGUCCGACAAGGACGCCGCUGGCGGGCACAGCACCGUUGGCGGCAACAUCGUCGCGCUGCUGUCGGCGUUCUUUUACGCCGCCUACACGUCUGUGCUGAAGUUCCACCUGCCGGACGAUGAGCGCUUUGCCAUGGGGAUGGUGUUUGGCGCUGUCGGCGUCUUGAACUGUGUUUUCCUGUGGCCCGGCCUGGUGCUGCUCAGCGUGACGGGUGCGGAGAAGUUUGCGUGGCCGUCCUGGCAGCAGCUCUGGCCCUUGCUGAUGAACUCUCUCGUUGGCACCAAUCUCAGCGACGUGCUGUGGGCCCGCAGCGUCGUGCUCACUUCCCCGGUGGUCGCCACGCUUGGGUUGUCGCUCACCACCCCGCUUGCCAUGGUCGUGGACGCCAUCUCCAAGAAUGCGCACUUCAGCGGCGCUUACGUGGCCGGUGCUGUCCUUGUGAUGGUGGGGUUUCUGCUCGCUAACUUGCCGAUUUAGAUCGACGUGUGGGUGUGUGACGGCGGCGCACGAUAGGGGCAGCGUAUUAUGCGGCUGGACGAGUGGCAGAAGGGGGAGGAGGAGGGCCGCAGUACGCUGCCCGAAGUGCCGGAGCGCCUCUUGCUUUGGGGCUUCUCGUGCUUUGGGCGCCUUCGCACCUUUCCUCCUUCUUUUCGCCACGGAGCUGUGCGGUGGGCGUUGGAUGCCCUGCCGUGGAGGCCGCCGUCUUGCGGCCGUUGUUUCUUUGCCUCUCCUUGGCCCAUCCCUCUCUCUCUCGUAAAGGCGCCCCAGCUCCACGCGAUCAACAUCAUGAGUGACUGUCAGACACAUCCCUCGUUCUCCCCAGCGAGCAAUCGCGUGCCUAUGCGUGUCUGCGUCGAAUCCAGAGGAGCGGGAGGGCGGGCCCACACGCGGUGCGGCAUGUAGUCGAUGAAGCGCGCUUGCAGGACCGCUGCCAAGGCAGAGAGAGAGACGGAGAGACCGGAUUGCCUGUCCGCCUGCCCCCGCUUUGGGCGGGGCAAAGGGAAGCCGGCGCCACGACUGCAGCGAAGGGAUCGGAAACGAGGAUAAUGCGGAACACGCGCCGCCCCGCCUCUUGGCUUCUUUUCCAUGAUCUCCCUCCCGACCCCGCUCCUACCCUGCUGUAUCCGUGCGUGUGUGUGCGUGCGCGUGUGCUUGUGCGUGGAUGUGGGUGUAGGUGUGGGGUCUGCAUGCACAGAUACCCGCCGUCCCCCUCGCCCCUGCUUGCCUCACACACACACACACACACACACGGCCGGCUCCCCCAAGGUUUCACUGCCACUUACUUCCUCCCUCCUCCCCGCCCUUCCCGCGUUUCUAUCUCCGAAAUUUGUGUGUUUUAUUCUCUUCCCGGGCCGCCUCGUACGUCUUCUCCUCUUUGCGUGGUAACGUGUUAUUGUCGCGCCGUGUGUGCAG
rnacentral:misc_RNA from 1 species